UACGUAGGGCGCAAGCGUUGUCCGGAAUUAUUGGGCGUAAAGAGCUCGUAGGCGGUUUGUCGCGUCUGCUGUGAAAUCCCGAGGCUCAACCUCGGCUUGCAGUGGGUACGGGCAGACUAGAGUGCGGUAGGGGAGACUGGAAUUCCUGGUGAUAGCGGUGAAAUGCGCAGAUAUCAGGAGGAACACCGGUGGCGAAGGCGGGUCUCUGGGC
rnacentral:rRNA from 1 species